rnacentral:rRNA from 1 species
GUAGGUGGCAAGCGUUGUCCGGGAAUUAUUGGGGCGUAAAAGCGCGCGCAAGGCGGUUCUUUAAGUCUGAUGUGAAAGCCCACGGGCUCAACCGUGGAGGGUCAUUGGAAACUGGAGAACUUGAGUACAGAAGAGGAAAGCGGAAUUCCACGUGUAGCGGUGAAAUGCGUAGAGAUGUGGAGGAACACCAGUGGCGAAGGCGGCUUUCUGGUCUGUAACUGACGCUGAGGCGCGAAAGCGUGGGGAGCAAACAGGAUUAGAUACCCUGGUAGUCCACGCCGUAAACGAUGAGUGCUAAGUGUUAGGGGUUUCCGCCCCUUAGUGUCUGCAGCUAACGCAUUGAGCACUCCGCCUGGGGAGUACGGCCGCAAAGGCUG